rnacentral:ncRNA from 19 species
CCACUGUAGAUUGCUGGACGAACCAGCAACCGCGUUGGCAUCUGAGGAACCCGGUGGAACUCCGGGGCUGUCCCGCAACUGUGACCGGUCACACCGGAAGCCAGACACUCCGCCCGACGCGAUCCCCACG